AGUGUGUAUUUUUCACGAACAACAGCUCAUUUUGUUCUUGGGGUCGAAAUCCCCAAAGGCCUAGCUCGCAACAACAAAUAAUCGAUAGCUAUCGACCUUCACACCAUGUACCAAUAGUUCCUAACACUAGAAUCGAUAGAAAUCAACGUCUCACAUACUAAUUUUACAUGGACCAUCUCUACAGGCAUCAAAAGGUAAACAAACAACAAACAGGUAAAUAUUGGACGAGAUUAACGAAAAGUUACGUAUGGACUAGCCACCGCGCACUCAAACAUCCUAUGGCACCCACCACAAAAACCUAGGCCACUGCAAGGCCGGAUAACGACCGGUUUAUCUCCCCUAGGGCAAAACUGCUACCCGGGCUUGGACCUCGGCCCCUUCAAGCCCGAUUUAAAAUCAGGAAAUAUGGCCUUAGAGAAGUGUAAACUUUGCGCUUGAAGCGGCUUAAUGGACACAUAAUAUUUCUCCUAAAUACCCUGCUGGAGCUCUAAGAGGACAAUAAGGGACGAGGAUUUUAACAAGAUAUCCCCUUGGCUGCUGGUCGAAAAAUUCAACAGAAAUUUGGGCCGAAAAUAACUUGGUCCCGUUUCUAAGUCGAUGUGAAAAUGGCGAAAGGUGGACCGGAGGACCAAGCCUUGCCUGAGCAACUGCGGACCGCGAAAAUAGGGAUGCCGCGUGUUGAAGAGCCCUGUGGUGAUUAGGACAAACAUAGGGAAGUUUAAUGGUCUUGGUAGCAGCUAGUAGAUGCUACGGCUCGUGGCAGGAAUCACAAAAGAAUUAAUAAGAAACUGUUAAGUGGUAUUGAUUUGUUAAAGAAUUUCCGUACACGACACUCGUAGAGUAAAGGGUACAUAGUAUUAGCUGAAAAGUAUAAGAACUGGUAGAAAAAACAUUUCUGACCCGUUGGUAAACAUAUAUAUUCUUUAUCAGGAUCAGAAGCCGAGUUGAUCUAGCCAUGCCCGCCUAUCUCUAUCAACGUAUAAACGACGAGACCUUUAACGCAAUUCGUGAAAUUUUGUAUAGAAAUGGUAAAGAAAUGUUUUUGCGCGGUAUAUAUUUAUUGAAUAUCGGACACCCACAUUUUUUAAAUAAGGAAUUAUUUCUGAAGUUAUUUAGCAACAAAGUUUCCAAAACCGAAUCUUUAUUGAUUGCUGCUCGAAUAGAAAAGUAAGUUGAGCUAUAUGUUACAUGCAUAUUUAAUUUUAAAUUAAAAAAAAAUGUUUUGGUUGUCUGAUAGUCGACCAAAGCGCUCCUUCUUAUUUUAUUUGUGUUAUUUUCAUUUUAACUUUUAAACAGUAACAGAUAUUUUCGGUGCAUGGUUAAAACUUUGUUUAGAUUCAAACCAAAGAAUUCGUCGAUACCAUAAAAUGCGUUCACUCAAACAAAUUUUUAUCAAAAAUCGCUUUAAAUACCCACAGAGUUCGCACGUACAUAUAUGUAGAAAAUGUAGGGUGAAUUUUCUUUAAUUCCUGUUGUUUUGAAUAUAAAAUAAGUUAGUUUAAGUUUGGUAAACAAUUUUAUAUAUUAGUUAGUUUAAAUGAACAAUUAUUUUCCAAAAAAUCACCAUCUGUUUAUGAUUAGCAACAAAAAAUUAUUAAACUGGCUCCCUUAUCAAGGGAGUAAUCUACAGCAACUUAAAAAAAAAAGUGGUUAAAUUAUUUACCAAACUAAAUACAGGAAAAAACUGACAUUUUUAUUGACCGAUUACUGCAGACUUCAGUUUCUACUCUGACAAUUAAGCACCUGUUCCUUGAUUGAAAGAUGUUUAAAAGCACAUUCAGAUAGAAAAGUUCCUUUCCUAAGCAAAAUAAUUAUUGAUAAAAGUCCUAUUUUUGCAAAGCGACACCUAGACCGCCAAAAUUUAAAUAAUUUCCAGUGGUCUGAUUAAACUUUAAUAUUCGAUCCGAAGCAUACCAUUUAGACUGUUAAGCAUGGUGGCGGGAAUAUCAGCGCCUUUCUAUUAUUUUUUCCAUAUAUUUAUACAUAAAUAUAUAUAUAUAUAUAUAUAAAUAUAUAUGUAUACCAGUUGGUAUUGGACCAGUUGACAUGGUCCAAAAUACAUAUCCUCCUUAAAAACCGCAAAAGUGCCAACUGAAAACUAAAAAUGAUUAAAUAUUAAAAAAUACAAAAUAAAAAUGUAUAUAUACAAAUAUAUAUAUGUGUAUUUAUAUUAUGUAUAUAUAUAAUAUUUAUAUAAACUCGAUAAAGAGCACUACAUUUUAAAAAUAUCCGUAUGAAAGAACAAACUAAACCAAAACGAAAAAUGGCAAUCCCAUUUCAUGUUAAUAAAUCAAAUAUUUUAUCAAAGACAUGAAAGAAAUUUUUCAGCGUCCAUGAUGAAAAUAUACAUAUUGAAAUCACCAAAAUCGCGAAAUGAUAAACCUCUGUAAAAACUCUGCUAAUAUAAGACAAUAAAACAUAUAAUAAUAGUCUCACA